rnacentral:rRNA from 1 species
CCUACGGGGGGCAGCAGUGAGGAAUAUUGGUCAAUGGUCGCGAGACUGAACCAGCCAAGCCGCGUGCAGGAUGACGGCCCUAUGGGUUGUAAACUGCUUUUAUGCGGGGGUAAAAUGCGUCACGUGUGCUGUUUUGUAGGUACCGUAUGAAUAAGGACCGGCUAAUUCCGUGCCAGCAGCCGCGGUAAUACGGAAGGUUCGGGCGUUAUCCGGAUUUAUUGGGUUUAAAGGGAGCGUAGGCCGCAUGUUAAGCGUGCCGUGAAAUGCCGUGGCUCAACCCUGGCACUGCGGCGGGAACUGGCUUGCUUGAGUGCGCGGAAGGUAGGCGGAAUUCGUGGUGUAGCGGUGAAAUGCUUAGAUAUCACGAAGAACACCGAUUGCGAAGGCAGCAUACGGCAGCGCGACUGACGCUGAGGCUCGAAGGCGCGGGUAGCGAACAGGAUUAGAUACCCGGGUAGUC